UGAGGAAUAUUGGUCAAUGGGCGGAAGCCUGAACCAGCCAAGUCGCGUGAGGGAAGACGGUCCUAUGGAUUGUAAACCUCUUUUGCCGGGGAGCAAAGCCGGGCUCGUGAGCCCGGAAGGAGAGUACCCGGAGAAAAAGCAAUCGGCUAACUCCGUGCCAGCAGCCGCGGUAAUACGGAGGAUGCGAGCGUUAUCCGGAUUUAUUGGGUUUAAAGGGUGCGUAGGCGGGAUCUUAAGUCAGCGGUAAAAAAUGCGGGGCUACAACCCCGUCACGUGCCGUUGAAACUGAGGUUCUUGAGUGGGCGAGAAGUAUGCGGAAUGCGUGGUGUAGCGGUGAAAUGCAUAGAUAUCACGCAGAACUCCGAUUGCGAAGGCAGCAUACCGGCGCCCAACUGACGCUGAGGCACGAAAGCGUGGGGAUCGAACAGGAUUAGAUACC
rnacentral:rRNA from 1 species